rnacentral:rRNA from 1 species
UACGUAGGGGGCAAGCGUUGUCCGGAAUCAUUGGGCGUAAAGCGCGUGUAGGCGGCCCGGUAAGUCCGCUGUGAAAGUCCAGGGCUCAACCCUGGGAUGCCGGUGGAUACUGUCGGGCUCGAGUCCGGAAGAGGAGUGUGGAAUUCCUGGUGUAGCGGUGAAAUGCGCAGAUAUCAGGAGGAACACCAGUGGCGAAGGCAGCUCGCUGGGACGUUACUGACGCUGAGACGCGAAAGCGUGGGGAGCAAACAGG